rnacentral:rRNA from 1 species
ACGAAGGGUGCAAGCGUUACUCGGAAUUACUGGGCGUAAAGCGUGCGUAGGUGGUUUGUUAAGUCUGAUGUGAAAGCCCGGGGCUCAACCCCGGGUCGGCCGUGCCGACUGUUGGACUAGAGUGCUGUAGGGGCAGGCGGAAUUCCGGGUGUAGCGGUGGAAUGCGUAGAGAUCCGGAGGAAGACCGGUGGCGAAGGCGGCCUGCUGGGCAGUUACUGACACUGAGGCGCGACAGCGUGGGGAGCAAACAGGA